GUCUUUUUGAUUAAUAAUUUAAAGUCUAAUCUGCCCACUGAUAUUAUAUUAAAGGGCUGCAGUAUUUUGACUGUACAAAGGUAGCAUAAUCAUUAGUCUCUUAAUUGGUGACUUGUAUGAAAGAUUUAAUGAAAUAUAUACUGUCUCUUUUUAAUUUAUAAAAUUUAAUUUUUUAGUUAAAAAGCUAAAAUAUAUUUAAAAGACGAGAAGACCCUAUAGAGUUUUAUAUUUAUAUAAAUUAUAAUUUUUUAUAAGAUUUAAAAUUUUAAUAUAUUUAAAUAUUGUAUUGGGGUGAUAAAAAAAUUUAAAUAACUUUUUUUAUAAAUUAACAUUUAUAAAUGAAUAAAUGAUCCGUAAUUUACGAUUAUAAGAAAAAAUUACCUUAGGGAUAACAGCGUAAUUUUUUUUUUUAGUUCAAAUAAGAAUAAAAGUUUGCGACCUCGAUGUUGGAUUAAGAUAAAAUUUAAAUGCAAAAGUUUAAAAUUUUUGAUCUGUUCGAUCAUUAAAAUCUUACA
rnacentral:rRNA from 1 species